rnacentral:misc_RNA from 1 species
CCGCCAUGUCCUGUUGGCCAUGAUCGCUUACCGCCUGCAGGCCGAGGUCCUGGGCGACUUAGAUGCCGAGACGGUGCGGUUCUUGAAUACGAUCGAGCUUACCCCCUCCCAGCAGGCGGCCGUUCCGCUGACCCAAGCCUUCGAGCGGCGGAAGCGCGAUCUCCCCGUGGGCGCGGUGCUGACCCGCGAGUGGGCCGGCCAGCAUCAUCGGGUCAUGGUGCUCGACGCGGGGUUCGCCUGGGAGGGGCGCACGUAUCGGAGCCUCUCCGAGAUCGCCACAGCGAUCACCGGCACCAAAUGGGGCGGACCCCGGUUCUUUGGUCUGCGCGAGCAGCGGCAGGCUAAGGCGGCUCCAUGACCACAGCUUCCAAAGCGGUCCGCUGCGCCAUCUACAC